UACGAAGGGGGCUAGCGUUGCUCGGAAUGACUGGGCGUAAAGGGCGCGUAGGCGGCGAUCACAGUCAGAUGUGAAAGCCCGGGGCUUAACCCCGGGUCUGCAUUCGAUACGGGCUAGCUAGAGUGUGGUAGGGGAGAUCGGAAUUCCUGGUGUAGCGGUGAAAUGCGUAGAUAUCAGGAGGAACACCUGUGGUGUAGACAGCUUACUGGACCACUUCUGACGCUGAGACACGAAAGCGUGGGUAGCAAACAGG
rnacentral:rRNA from 1 species